GGCGUUAGAAUCUGAUUAGCCACUUGUACGAUUCGUCGAGGAUCAUUCACGUUUGUGGAAAGCGAUAUCUGUCAGACUGACGUAAAAACCCAACGUUCCGUUAAAACUAAGUGUACACACUUAUUUAACGAUUUAACGUUUCGUGGAACGUUGUGUGCAGAUCGUUAAGUAGCCUCUGUUGAUUUCUUAAUUUAAACAUAUUACAUAUGUACAUUAAUAUGCGAUCCAUCUAAAGCGGUAAUCCUGACCGUGGAAUCUCAGUGGAAAUUGGAUUACUGGAUAUCUUAAGAUGGUGAUAUGGUACAGAUGCAGGCUGGUAUCGAAGAUCGGCUCUCGAGUGGAUGAAAAAAUUCUUGGUCUGGUGCAGGUCAUGGAAAUUUGGUUGAUGAUGGCGGUAGAGUGAAGUGGAAGGUUUUUGGAGGCGUAAAACGUGCCGCUAUUUAUGUGGGAUUAGAGUUCAGUGAAUAUAGAAAAAAAAAGAACGUUCAAUGAGAUUUUAGAGAUCAAUUUUCUUAAGUAACAAAUGGUGCUUCAUACAAAAAAUAGACAAAAAAAGAUACAUGGAAAGUUGUAACAAAAACAAAUAAACAAGAACAGUAUGUUCAAACAAAGCGUAAAAACUAUCUAGAAAUAUAUAUGAAGUAGAUACAGAAGGUUAACAAAAAGUUUUAGAAGUAAUAAGAAAGUAAUAGUAAAAAACUAAAACAAAAAGAAAACAAAAUAAGAAUUAUUAUAAAAUAUAAUGAAUCUUAUAAACCAUACAAAAGAAGUUCCUCCCGUAGAAAUUACUAGAAAGUACAAUUGAUAUAACUAUAUGUAAUGAAAAAUGGUAAAUGUUAUUCAGUUUGAUAAAACCUAUCAAAAUAAUAAAGAGAUUGAUAUAUCACCUUC